rnacentral:tRNA from 1 species
GGGGUUGUGGCUCAGUUGUAGAGCACUUGCCUAGCAUGUAUGAGGCACAGGUUCAAUUCUCAGCUCCA